UGGGGAAUUUUGGACAAUGGGCGAAAGCCUGAUCCAGCAAUGCCGCGUGUGUGAAGAAGGCCUUCGGGUUGUAAAGCACUUUUGUCCGGAAAGAAAUCCUUGGCUCUAAUACAGUCGGGGGAUGACGGUACCGGAAGAAUAAGCACCGGCUAACUACGUGCCAGCAGCCGCGGUAAUACGUAGGGUGCAAGCGUUAAUCGGAAUUACUGGGCGUAAAGCGUGCGCAGGCGGUUUGCUAAGACCGAUGUGAAAUCCCCGGGCUCAACCUGGGAACUGCAUUGGUGACUGGCAGGCUAGAGUAUGGCAGAGGGGGGUAGAAUUCCACGUGUAGCAGUGAAAUGCGUAGAGAUGUGGAGGAAUACCGAUGGCGAAGGCAGCCCCCUGGGCCAAUACUGACGCUCAUGCACGAAAGCGUGGGGAGCAAACAGGAUUAGAUACCCUGGUAGUCCACGCCCUAAAACGAUGUCAACUAGUUGUUGGGGAUUCAUUUCCUUAGUAACGUAGCUAACGCGUGAAGUUGACCGCCUGGGGAGUACGGUCGCAAGAUUAAAACUCAAAGGAAUUGACGAGGUCAUAGCUGUUUCC
rnacentral:rRNA from 1 species